rnacentral:rRNA from 1 species
UGAAUACGAGAUGCUACGGCGUCGAAGCAGUCUAUGUCAUACUUCCAAGAAAAGCUCGCACUGUCAUAAACAAAUAAUGCCUGUACCAUAACCGACACAGGUGGGUAGGUAGAGUAUACUAAGGGGCGCGAGAUAACUCUCUCUAAGGAACUCGGCAAAAUGACUCCGUAACUUCGGGAGAAGGAGUGCCUUAUUUAUAAGGUUGCAAUAACAAGAUCCAAGCAACUGUUUAUCAAAAACACAGGUCUCCGCUAAGUCGUAAGACGAUGUAUGGGGGCUGACGCCUGCCCAGUGCCAGAAGGUUAAAGAAGUUGGUUAGCAUUCGCGAAGCUGAUAACUGAAGCCCUGGUGAACGGCGGCCGUAACAAUAACGGUCCUAAGGUAGCGAAAUUCCUUGUCGGGUAAGUUCCGACCCGCACGAAAGGCGUAAUGAUUUGGAUACUGUCUCGGAGAGGGGCUCGGUGAAAUAGACUUGUCUGUGAAGAUGCGGACUACCUGCACCAGGACAGAAAGACCCUAUGAAGCUUUACUGUAACUUGAGAUUGAAAUUGGACUUUACUUGCGCAGUAUAGGUGGGAGGCGUUGAUAAUAUUCUUGCGGGAUUAUUUGAGCCAUCAGUGAGAUACCACUCUUGUAAUGUUAGAUUUCUAACUUUGUAUCAUUAUCUGGUCAAAGGACAGUUUCAGGCGGGCAGUUUGACUGGGGCGGUCGCCUCCUAAACGGUAACGGAGGCGCACAAAGGUUUCCUCUGAACGGGUAGAAAUCGUAUCUAGAGUGUAAAGGCAUAAGGAAGCUUGACUGUGAGACCUACAAGUCGAGCAGGGACGAAAGUCGGUCUUAGUGAUCUGACGGUGCUGAGUGGAAAGGCCGUCACUCAACGGAUAAAAGUUACUCUAGGAUAACAGGCUGAUCUCCCCCAAGAGUUCACAUCGACGGGGAGGUUUGGCACCUCGAUGUCGGCUCAUCGCAUCCUGGGGCGGUAGUACGUCCCAAGGGUUGGGCUGUUCGCCCAUGAAAGCGGUACGCGAGCUGGGUUCAGAACGUCGUGAGACAGUUCGGUCCAUAUCCGGUGUAGGCGUUAGAAUAUUGAGAGGAGCCUUCUUUAGUACGAGAGGACCGAGAAGGACAUACCUCUGGUGUACCAGUUAUCGUGCCAACGGUAAACGCUGGGUAGCUAUGUAUGGAGUGGAUAACCGCUGAAAGCAUCUAAGUGGGAAGCCCACCUCAAGAUAAGUAUCCUCAU